CAUGUUUCUAGCACGGACAUUUGUUGCAGACGGACAUAGUGUGAAACAAUGAAAAAACACGGCCAAAAACAAAAGAUAAUGACUCCUUUUCGGAGCGACAGCGUGCCGUACCAUCGGCAUAAUACUGCAACAACGUCCAGUUGGCUCCAAGCUGACUGGCAACUGCAUUGGUCCUGUUUCUUGCCUGCUACAUCCUCUGCUGGUUUUUCUACGAAAUUCCUUCCACUUGCCCGGCGUUUACACGUUGACAGCGAGGGAAGGCGUGCGUGAAAGACGGCCUUAUCUGCAAACGUGCACGAUGCCGGAGACGAUAGGCGGAGGAAUGAAAGGGCCGAGCUGUGAAACCGCAGCCAUCAAAGCGGGUUUUGCCGGCGGCGCCCACGGGAUGGCAAUCGCAUGCUGUGAGGGAGAACAGGAGAGGCACAGUCAGUCGUGGCACACGCACACAAACACACGGGUGGCAGAUCACGCACUGCGAUAAGAAAGUGCACUCGGGCGCCCGGCUGGCGGUUGAUGGCGUUCGGGCGGCGAGCGCACCUGCGCAGGGGCGUGUUUGCGCCGCCUCCACCGACCUCCAUUCCUUGCCAUCUUUCACCCUCGCCCCCAUCAUUUCACACCUCGCCUCUGUUUGCUUUGCUUGUCCUGUCAUCCCCUCGCCGCCCCCCACCCCCACCCUGAAUUAAGCCAAAUAACUCCGUGUCAAAAAGAGGCAACACCCACUCCACCGCCCUCCCUCCGCCGUCCCCGCAGACCUCCAACUCAUCUCCGCUGACAGAGGAAGAUGGGGGCGAGACGAAGCUCAGGAAUGUUGAGAUGCCGCGCUUCCUCCCCCGUUUCCUGUCAUUAAUCUAAAACGCAAAAAAAGAGCAGUCCCCAAACGUCGGGCCGUGGACCCCUGCCGGGUCCGGCAAAAAAUAUCUUUUAUUGAUCAUCAUCAGAGUCUGAAGGAACUUUGAUUUUCUAUCAGGCCAUUUGCCAAAAAACAACCUUUGUGAUGAUUGUUUUUUUUUAAA